AGAGGGUUAGGAGUUGGAUUUAGGUUUGUUAUGUGAGCAACGUAUGAGGAAAGAGUGCUGCUAGCAAGGCAAAGGUAAGAAGAGCAUAGAGGAUUCAACUUUUCUGUAGUUUCUUGCUGAGUAAAUGACAUAGGUCAAGAAGAAGUUAAACUGAGUACUAGAGAGCUUUAAAACUGAAGAAGAGACUGACAAAUAGCAUUACAUAUUUGAAAUCUUUUUGAUAACUUCAGUGGUUUGAGACUUCCUGGGAAGGUUUUAAAGGAGUUCAAGAUUCAUGGUUAACCUACUAGCAGAAUCACUGUUCCUCAAAAGAAGAGCUUCAGAAAUCAUCACGAAGGAAUCAAAGGGCAUACUCUGAAUAAGUUCCAGUAAUGUCAACUUUAUAUGCAUGUCAGUGCAUCCUUUAUGAAAUUGUUGAGCAGUCUUGUGAUUCUGAACUUGAGAUAAAUCCUCUGCCAUGUGUGUCUUUGCGUAGAGACAUGUGGGUCAAUAAUUAAUGAAAACAAAAUAAAACUACUACUGACAGGUGGGCUUUGAAAAGCAAUCUUUGUGAUAAAUAUAAACUUCAGUAGCUAUCUCACCAUUGAUUCAUAGAGUCUUUGUUAGCAUCAAAAAAUAUUUGCUUGAGGCCCUAGAGAAUUUUUUACACCUUGGCUUUGUCAGGUUGGAAAAUAUAUUUACAUACAACGUUUAUUUGAAGCUUGAGAAAGCUGAGAAAGAUAAAACAUUCCGUUGGAUUUAGUUUACUUUCUGUUUUUUUAUUUGAUUUUCAUUUCUUUAGUACCCUGUUGGGGAGCAGGGGGUGGAAAGUUAAGGGUUUCUUUUAUAGUUACUUAUUUCUGCGCAAUGUUCUCCUUUUAAAAUGACAGUGCAACUAUGAUUUAGCCUUACAAAAAAUUCUUUAGAGGAAAAAAAAAGAAAGAGUUCUGAACUGCCUUACCAUUUAAUGACCAGAGUCAUUAAUGUUAGAUGUUAAUUUGUUAAUGUUAGUCAUUAAUAAUAGAUGUAAAUCUAUCAAAAUGUAGAAUUGAAAUGGCUACAAUAAACUUUGGAUAUUUUAAAAGCAGAGCUGACUUUAGGUCCUCUCAUUCUCUCAGCUGUCCGGAUCAUCUAAUAACCAAUGUAUCUGCUACAGAUACAGAUCUACUCUGGAGGUUCUAUCUUAUCCGUUGUAACAUUCAGUUAUUUUACCACUCAGCAUUUAUUAAAUUUUCUCAAUUCUCUGUUUUUUUUCUCUUCUUUCUCUUGUAUGAUUUUGCAAGUACCUUUGGCAGCUGAAAAACAUAAUUUUCCUUGCUUCCAAAAUUUUAAGUUUGUUGUAUUUUAUUUUUUUUCAUUUGUUCACCUGAGUAUUUGCAAAAUAAUGAAUGAAUGACAGAUUUUAAUUCACAGAUUACAUUUAUACAUCAUAUUUACAGCAGAAAGCUCUUGGGUAGAAAAUAUUGCGUGUUACCCAUGUGGCUUUGCUCCUCAAUCUGUAUGCAUAAUGCCUGUCAGUAUCAAGAUUUUUGGUUCAUUUAUAUUCCUGAGAAAUGAAUGGGGUAACUGACUCAUAGUUUUGCCUUUCAUAGUAAUUUCUACACUGACAUUUAAAGCAGCUUAUUCUGUUUUGUUAAAGUAGGAUUCUCAAUGUGCAGUUCAGCAGAGGACAGAAACAGAUUUCAAAGCAUGGUCAUUUCUGUGACUUUACAAAAAUCUACCAUGAACUAGGAAAGCAUUAGGCAAGCACUCAGAUUUUGACUGCAUUGUAAUUUAUUCCAAUAGAAGUUCUGCAUUAGCAUCAGUGAGCUACGGCUAAGUGCUAAGGUCAGUUGUGCAUUUUAUACUUCAGCUGCAGAGGAAGAAUUUUAUUGCUUUUCAUAGUCAUGGUGCAGUGAAAAAGGUGCUUUAUGAUGCCACAGACAAUUAAUUGAGGUGCAUUACCUAGAAACUAAAAAG